rnacentral:rRNA from 1 species
AUUGAACGCUGGCGGCAGGCUUAACACAUGCAAGUCGAGCGAGCGGCGGACGGGUGUGUAAUGUCUGGGAAACUGCCUGAUGGUGGGGGGUAACUAUUGGAAACGGUAGCUAUUAUAGCAUACCAUCAGAUGUGCCCACAGGGGAUUUGCUAGAGGGUGGGGUAACGGCUCACCCAGGCGACGAUCCCUAGCUGGUCUGAGAGGAUGACCAGCCACACUGGAACUGAGACACGGUCCAGACUCCUACGGGAGGCAGCAGUGGGGAAGAUUGCACAAUGGGCGCAAGCCUGAUGCAGCCAUGCCGCGUGUGUGAAGAAGGCCUUCGGGUUGUAAAGCACUUUCAGCGGGGAGGCGUUACCCGCAGAAGAAGCACCGGCUAACUCCGUGCCAGCAGCCGCGGUAAUUC